rnacentral:rRNA from 1 species
AACCGAGAACUCCUACGGGAGGCAGCAGUGGGGAAUUUUGGACGAUGGGGGCAACCCUGAUCCAGCAAUGCCGCGUGAGUGAAGAAGGCCUUCGGGUUGUAAAGCUCUUUUGUCGGGGAAGAAACGGUAGUAGCUAAUAUCUAUUACUAAUGACGGUACCUGAAGAAUAAGCACCGGCUAACUACGUGCCAGCAGCCGCGGUAAUACGUAGGGUGCAAGCGUUAAUCGGAAUUACUGGGCGUAAAGCGUGCGCAGGCGGUUGUGUAAGUCAGAUGUGAAACCCCCGGGCUCAACCUGGGAAUUGCAUUUGAGACUGCACGGCUAGAGUGUGUCAGAGGGGGGUAGAAUUCCACGUGUAGCAGUGAAAUGCGUAGAUAUGUGGAGGAAUACCGAUGGCGAAGGCAGCCCCCUGGGAUAACACUGACGCUCAUGCACGAAAGCGUGGGGAGCAAACAGGAUUAGAAACCCCUGUAGUCCGACUGAGA